AAAUUGAAGAGUUUGAUCAUGGCUCAGAUUGAACGCUGGCGGCAGGCCUAACACAUGCAAGUCGAACGGUAACAGGAAGCAGCUUGCUGCUUCGCUGACGAGUGGCGGACGGGUGAGUAAUGUCUGGGAAACUGCCUGAUGGAGGGGGAUAACUACUGGAAACGGUGGCUAAUACCGCAUAACGUCGCAAGACCAAAGAGGGGGACCUUCGGGCCUCUUGCCAUCAGAUGUGCCCAGAUGGGAUUAGCUAGUUGGUGAGGUAACGGCUCACCAAGGCGACGAUCCCUAGCUGGUCUGAGAGGAUGACCAGCCACACUGGAACUGAGACACGGUCCAGACUCCUACGGGAGGCAGCAGUGGGGAAUAUUGCACAAUGGGCGCAAGCCUGAUGCAGCCAUGCCGCGUGUAUGAAGCAGGCCUUCGGGUUGUAAAGUACUUUCAGCGG
rnacentral:rRNA from 1 species